rnacentral:rRNA from 1 species
AUUGAACGCUGGCGGCAGGCUUAACACAUGCAAGUCGAGCGGAGAUGAGGUGCUUGCACCUUAUCUUAGCGGCGGACGGGUGAGUAAUGCUUAGGAAUCUGCCUAUUAGUGGGGGACAACAUUCCGAAAGGAAUGCUAAUACCGCAUACGCCCUACGAGGGAAAGCAGGGGAUCUUCGGACCUUGCGCUAAUAGAUGAGCCUAAGUCGGAUUAGCUAGUUGGUGGGGUAAAGGCCUACCAAGGCGACGAUCUGUAGCGGGUCUGAGAGGAUGAUCCGCCACACGGGGACUGAGACACGGCCCAGACUCCUACGGGAGGUAGCAGUGGGGAAUAUUGGACAAUGGGCGGAAGCCUGAUCCAGCCAUGCCGCGUGUGUGAAGAAGGCCUUUUGGUUGUAAAGCACUUUAAGCGAGGAGGAGGCUACCUGGAUUAAUACUCUAGGAUAGUGGACGUUACUCGCAGAAUAAGCACCGGCUAACUCUGUGCCAGCCGCCGCAGUAA